rnacentral:rRNA from 1 species
AGAGUUUGAUCCUGGCUCAGGAUGAACGCUAGCUACAGGCUUAACACAUGCAAGUCGAGGGGAAACGAUAUUGGAAGCUUGCUUCCGAUAGGCGUCGACCGGCGUACGGGUGAGUAACGCGUAUCCAACCUGCCCACCACUUGGGGAUAACCUUGCGAAAGUAAGACUAAUACCCAAUGACGUCUCUAGAAGACAUCUGAAAGGGAUUAAAGAUUUANCGGUGAUGGAUGGGGGAUGCGUCUGAUUAGCUUGUUGGCGGGGUAACGGCCCACCAAGGCGACGAUCAGUAGGGGUUCUGAGAGGAAGGCCCCCCACAUUGGAACUGAGACACGGUCCAAACUCCUACGGGAGGCAGCA